UAGGGAAUCUUCCACAAUGGACGAAAGUCUGAUGGAGCAACGCCGCGUGAGUGAAGAAGGAUUUCGGUUCGUAAAACUCUGUUGCAAGGGAAGAACAAGUAGCGUAGUAACUGGCGCUACCUUGACGGUACCUUGUUAGAAAGCCACGGCUAACUACGUG
rnacentral:rRNA from 1 species